rnacentral:rRNA from 1 species
GGACCCGCACAAGCGGUGGAGCAUGUGGUUUAAUUCGAUGCAACGCGAAAAACCUUACCUAUACUUGACAUACUUGGAAUGCUUUGUAAUGAAGCAGUGCCUUCGGGAGCCAGGAUACAGGUGCUGCAUGGCUGUCGUCAGCUCGUGUCGUGAGAUGUUCCGUUAAGUCGGAUAACGAGCGCAACCCUUACCCUUAUUUGCCAGCGAUUCGGUCGGGAACUAUAAGGGGACUGCCGGUGAUAAACCGGAGGAAGGUGAGGACGACGUCAAGUCAUCAUGGCCCUUACGUAUAGGGCUACACACGUGCUACAAUGGGGAAUACAGACGGACGCUAAGCCGCGAGGUGGUGCUAAUCCUAGAAAAUUCUUCGUAGUCCGGAUUGGAGUCUGCAACUCGACUCCAUGAAGUCGGAAUCGCUAGUAAUCG